GUUUAUAUAAGCGCAAGGUUGAUCUGGCUUUUAGGGGUUUAAAUGGCUGGAAGGUGUCUGAUAAAAGACUCAAGUGAGCCACAUGUACUGCAUUUUGGAAUGAUGGAAUGAUUAUAUAUAAUAAAAAUGACUAUAUAUAAAGUAGGUAGGUAGGUUUCAUUCCCUUUAUCGCAUGUCAUGAUGUUUUGCAUAUUAUAUAAGAAAUUGUGGAUCACUAAAUUAUUUGAUUUUCCAUCAAAUUAAUGUGGUUCAUACACUUUUAAUCAUUAAGGUUUCUCUUAUCGUCAUGUUCUAAAUGUAAUGACUUCUUGAUCAAUCUUAUGAUGCAUUUAAUUAUAAUGCUUAUAAAUUGUAAAGUCCUAUUGUUUUGGGGUACCCCCAAUAAAUAAUAGCAUGAACUUAUUAUUUUUCUUUUAAAUCCGAAGCAAAAAGACAUGCGAAAUGUCAAAAAUUAAGUUGGCUUGUGUCACCUUGUACCCUAAUUUAGUUUAAAGGUCACAAUAUAGAAAUAUGAGGUGACAAUUUAACAACUAAUUAUGUUUUUUUCUUUAGAAAUAAUCAGCUCUACCGACCGCUUGUCUUCCCAUUUAAGCUUGUAUGUUAUAUAUUAUAUUUUUAUGGUGGUCAUAAUAUAAUAAAAGAAUUAAUCAUGUGGAAUAUAAUUAUUGUUCCUUAAUUAUCUUGACAUGAUGGGGACAAAACGUCACAAAUAAGAGAGGACACAUAAUUCAAUUAUUAUUUUUUUUAAUCAAGCUAUAAAUGAUUGCAUAUUGAAAACAAGAAAUCAUGGAGUGGUACUGCUACAUCGACCGGAGUUGCAUCCAAAUUAAUGGAGUACCAAAAAUCAUGGCACAUGAAACUUUCUUACUGGAGGCUAUCACAAAUACCCAGAAAUCCAACAAGUUCUGAACAUUACCAUGAUUUUCCAUUAUUUUGCCCAUCGAAAAACUCCAAUGAUCCCUUGAAAACCGAUUUGAGCAAAAUAGCCUGCUGCCACCUGAUUGAAUUCCCUAUAAACAUGCAUGCACCCAUGAUAGAGACAAUUGUUUGAAAUAUUGUCUUUGAUGAUUAUGAAAUGAGUAAUAUUUGAGUCACAAAGGUUUGAGAUUUCCUGUACUGCUUGUCGUGUAGUGACUGGCCUGCAUUAUCCAAAUGCAUGGCUUCUUGAGAAAGAGAGUUCCUUAUAAAACCUUUUGUAAGUGGAGAUAAUUUUGCAUACGAUUCCUGAAGCUAGGAUGGUCGUCAAUCCUGUUUCUGUGCAAUAGAACUUGAAACAGGAUUGGGAAGAUAAUGGCUUCAGAUGCUGAGUUUUAACUUUUCUUCUUUGUUAUUGGUAGGUUUAUUACUAAAGCAGCAUUUGUGGAAGACGUGUUUUUGGAGUUAUCUACAGAAGAGUCCUGAGCAGGGUGAAGAUAGAGUGCCUGAGCCAGAACAAACUUACAUACCCAAGCCUCCAUGCAUGCACAACUUUAAGAAGAAUGCUCCAUCAAAGAUAGAGAAUCAACUACUAACCUUGUAUGAACUUGCACAAGUUGUUUGGAUUAAUACAUGUUUCUAAAAUGUUAUCCAUCUGCCUCAAACUAUGUUUUAUGUAAGUAUAUGCAUGUUGGUGACUAUAAUGACGGUAUAUAUGCAUGUUAACACUAAUCUCGACAUCCUUCUUGUUGCCAGAAAGAGUUUUUCCGGUAAGGUAAGCACGCGGGAAAAACUUUUGAUAUGGCAAGAAAAAGAGGAAUUUCUUGGCAUA